rnacentral:misc_RNA from 1 species
AUGACGGUGUCUGAAGAGAUGGCAACGGAACUGGCGAAUAAAAAGGCGGAGCGGGAGGCUCUCAGGGGGGUGAUACAGCAAUGGAACGCCAAUCGCUUGGACCUGUUCGAACUUUCGGAGCCCAACGAGAACCUGGAGUUUCAUGGCGUGAUGAGGUUUUAUUUCCAAGACAGCGGCCAGAAGGUCGCCACCAAGUGCAUCAGGGUCGCCUCGGACGCGACCAGUCAGGCGGUGAUAGAAACGCUCAUAGAAAAAUUUCGUCCCGACAUGAGAAUGCUGUCCGUCCCGGAGUACGCUCUUUACGAGAUUCACGAGAAUGGAGAAGAGCGUAAACUUGACUUAGAAGAAAAGCCACUGUUAGUUCAACUAAAUUGGCAUAUAGACGAUCGGGAGGGACGCUUCUUGUUGAAGAGGAUCGACGAUAAGACCAAUGCGCAGGGCGUCGGUUUUAAUUCAGCCGAGGGUUCUAGCUUCCGAAGAAAACUGAGCAAGCGGGAGAAGAAACAGAUCAAGAAGCAGGAGAAGCUUAGUCGACUAAAGAGCUUGGAGCAAGAUGAGAAUACGGUGCCUGGCGAUCAGAACGGUGUCGCUGAGAAGCUUUAUACUGAAUUGCCUGAGACCAGUUUUACGAGAAGUAUUUCGAAUCCGGAAGCGGUAAUGAGACGCCGCCGUCAACAGAAGCUUGAGAGGAGGCUCCAGCAAUUUCGCAGUAAAGACGGCGGUCCCGACACGGGCGGCACAUUGAAAAUUUAUGGCGAGGCGUUGUGCAAAGACGUGCCAUAUAAAACGCUGUUGUUAAGCGUACGAGAUUCUGCCGCACAGGUCGUGCGAGAGAUGCUUUCUAAAUACGGUCUGGAAAAAGUGGACCCGCAGUUAUAUUGCCUUGUACAGGUCAAUAGUGAAAACAUGGGUGGUAAUGCGCAUCAGGAAUAUAUACUGGACGACGACGAAUGUCCUUUGGCGAUAUUAAUGAAUCAUCCCUCUACACGAGGUUCUAUUAUGUUUCACGUGAGAAGGAGGCCUGCAGAUUAUAUGCCGCGGAAACGUAAAAAGAAACCUGCUGGAAAGUGGAACGAAUUAGAUCAUAGGUACGAGGACGAGAGGCUACCAUUCCUGUUGGAGCUUAAUCCUGACGGAAGCGAUAUUCCGAACGGCGCCGGAGUACGACACCGAUUACAACCAAAUGUCACGGAAGUCGGAUCGGAAAGACCGAUAGGGCCACAGGCGGUGCAAGCACAGACACUGACGCUACCAGGACCGACUGUGAUGCCCAGGCAUUGCGUUAUAGCUUUUACCGAGAAUAUUGUGACUCUCACACCGUGUUCCAGAGACGCGCACACGUAUGUCAACAACCAGAGGAUACACCAAACGACUAUUCUACAGAAUGGUGCUAUCAUCAAGUUCGGCAGAAUGCACACCUUUCGAUUCAUUGACCCGGCGCCGGAAGAUCGCAUUAGGCAGAGACAUGAUUCCAACAAACAGAUUGACUACGCUUACGACCGACGCUCGCCGGACGCGACCAGUCAAGACGUCAGCUCGGAGAAGUUUAAUCCGGGGUCUGGAACACCGAACGGCGGUGGUCAGAUCUCGGGGCAGACACAAGAACGCACAGCCCCGUCGAGUCCCUCGAAGUCCGCUGUCGCAGCAGUUCGUAGCCCUCGUAGUCCCACGCACCCACCGGAGCCCACGCACAAUUAUGAGACCACAUUCGAUCUGGAUGGAAACGUGGAGACCGCUAGUCUGAGCAGCAGCAGAGACGGCAACAGACUCUCACAAUACGAUCGGCAGCCGCGAGGCACGGAUCCGAUUUUGCCAGCUGUCUUGGAGUUUCUUGAGGAAACAGAGGAAACAUUUCUUCAUGCUGUCAUCACCGAUGUAGAGCCUUCAGCGCCUCAAUUCAAAUUGGCACCAACCUAUACUCUCUAUCUUAGCGCGAGAUAUCGCGCCAGUACUCACUACAGACCAGAAUUGCAGCCUACAGAAAGAGCGCAUCGACUCACCGUCAUGUUGGCAAAUGUCGCUACCAUGAUCCAGCGCGUUAUCCAGGAACGUUACAUGGAUGCAUCGUCGUUGGCCUUUUGGCUGGCGAAUGGCUCGGAACUGCUACACAUGUUGAAGAGUGAUCGACACGUGGGCGCAUUUUCUACACGAGCACAAGACAUCUUAGCAGACGCGGUGCAUACGGCCUUCGGUUCACUGGUGCGAUGUGUCACUUUAGAACUCACGCCGGCGAUGACGCAGUUCAUGGCGGACGCGGACGAACCAGCAAAGGAGGCUGGGGUGCUGCAAAUCUUUUCGAACACAAUGGCUUUAUUGCGACGAUGCAGAGUGAAUGCUGCGUUGACGAUACAGCUGUUCAGUCAUCUGUUUCACGCGAUCAACGCCACAGCCUUUAAUACUCUCGUCUCAAAUGGGAAUCUGUGCGUUAGAUGGUUUGGACGCAGACUUAAAGCGAGGCUGAAUGCAUUGGAAACCUGGGCUGAGAGACAAGGUUUGGAACUUGCCAGUCAAUGCCAUUUGGCGACGAUUAUGCAGGCGACUCAUCUAUUACAAGCUCCCAAAUACAAUGCUGAGGAGCUGGCCACGCUAAGCUCGACCUGCUUUAAAUUGAAUUCUCUGCAAGUGAGGGCGUUACUGCAGAAAUAUCAACCGGCCGCGGACGAGCCUAGAUUACCUGCUGAGUUGAUUGAGAACGUUGUGAGAGUAGCAGAGAGUGUUGCGGAUACACUUGCACGUGCAGAUGGCCGCGAAAUAAGACUUGAAGAGGAACCUGUCUUAGGGCUAGCAUUAUUACUUCCAGAGGAUGGCUAUAGUUGCGAACUAAUAAGAGGCGUGCCACCAGGAUUAGCGGAAUUUCUGGCACCUCUGCAACGAGAUGGUUUAUGUCGAAUGGCGGCCCAACCUACCAGUAGUGGCUAUUGGACCAUUUAUAUGAUAGACCAUCAUAACAAUUUGCGUAGUCCCAGCGCAAUGAGUAAUAGAUCAGGUGGCUAUAUGAGCCAUAUCAAUCAAAACCAAGCUCAACCUGAGAUACAUGUUAUUAAGUUACACAAGAGUACCAAUGGCAUGGGCUUAAGCAUAGUCGCAGCAAAAGGCGCAGGGCAGGACCGAUUAGGUAUCUACAUCAAAAGCGUUGUUGCUGGAGGUGCCGCUGAUGCUGAUGGUAGACUGACAGCAGGUGAUCAACUGCUCAAAGUAGACGGACAAAGUCUCGUCGGAAUUACGCAAGAAAAAGCUGCCGAAUAUCUUGUGCGCACCGGUCCAAUCGUGACAUUAGAAGUUGCAAAACAGGGUGCUAUAUAUCAUGGACUCGCAACGUUAUUAUCUCAACCUUCUCCUGUAAUGGGAAGAGAGCAUAAGACUCGACCAAGGUCCGAGCUCUUAGAGUCAGCGGUAGAGGCAACGGAGAUGACCAAUAAUCAGCCAGCCACGUCACACUCAAUGGGCGACUUAUUAUCCUACCCGAAGCAGGCACCAUGUCAGGAUUUAGUUCAACCAGGUGCGAUCCCGUCUCAAUGCAUUGUCGAGACAUCCUUUUACAGUAAUAAGGUCGACCGAAGUUUUCCACGAGUCGACGUCAACGAGUACCAUUCCGCGCGGCAAGCUCCGUACACCAUCUUCCGUCAGAGAGGCGCGUAUCCCGGUGUCUAUUCCGUCGAUGCGUACCGUGGUACUGUCAAUGAGAGAGAACACCUUUAUCGUCCUUCCACUCCCACCGUAUCUCCCGUACGUCUUCUGAAACCUCGUAUGCCCUGUCCCUUAAUCUCUAUCACGAGCGACAACGAAGUAUCGUCCAUCAUAUAUCAGGAUGAGAGUGACGAGAACGACGAUAAAAUUAUAGAGGAGGAAGAAAGUAACAUGGAACAGGGUGAAGCCGCGAUGAGUAAUUCGAAUUAUUCAACAGACGCUUUAAAUCCAUUCGAAAGAAUCACCACUCCGCCGCAGGAGUAUGCGGGAACUUCAAAAGAUUACAAACGGCUGAAACAGCCGUUGACUUUCGAUAGAAAUCUUUUCGAUGCUAUACCCUACAUUGACCAAAUUGAUGAUAUUAAUUUCACAGAUUCUUCUGAAUGUGUUCAGGUAAACCCGAAUAAGUGCGAACAAUGUAUUAAAGCCGGUUGUGACAACAAUUUUAAUCUUAAAGAUUCUCAAAAGCGUAUAGAUCGCAACAGCCAACAAACUUUAAAUGUUCCUGAAUUUAGUUUUGAAUUAGAUACACAUAGCAAUCUGAAUUUGUCAUCGACCACUAACCCUACAAAUGAAUCGGUAUUAUUCGUUAAAGACGUUGCUCCUGGAUCAGAUUCUCUUACAGAAUCUAAAUCGGAUGAUUUUUCAUGUUUUCAAACUGUGCAUAAUACCACGAAACGUACAUUGAAUAUUGAUGAACAGUGUGAGGAUAAAUUGGACAUUUCCAAUUCUGAAGACUGCGCGGAUGAGUCUAGUUCCACAAUUAACGAUGAUUGCGCGUCGAAUAGAGAUAAAGACGCUGAGGAAGGAAUUUCAACUCCUAAAAUGUAUACAAUAAUGCCAGAGUUGCAUCUUGAUCUGAGCGGAUUGAAUAGCGACGUGUCCAGUGACGAAUCCAAAACGGAGAAGUGCUGGAAAUCGCCGGAAGAGGUACGCCUAGGAUGCGGUAGAGUCGCGGCGCUUGCAAAACAUUUUUCAAAACUUGGCGACGCUGGUCUAAUCAAAUUCAAGUCGACCAAAUUGAACGGUUCCCGUCAGUUCGUGUCUGAACCGAAUAUCAUAACGUCGGACAAAAACGACGAACAUUUGCACCGGCCUUGUCACACACAAAAAGAAUACAAAUCGGACUCGGAUUUGAUAAAAGAAGGAGAUGAAAACUUUCGAAUUUGCUCAGGUGGGAGACGUAAUAACAUCAUUUUAGUUGAUGUUGAAGCGGACGGCAAUUUUGCAAUCGAAGAAUGCAAGUUUCACCAUUGCGGCGCUAGACGAGUCACAAUUGCCAGAAUUCCGAUAAACGAACAAGUUGAUACUAAUAAUAAAGAAAGUUUGAUUUCAGCAAUAGAAAAUCACAAUAAGAAUAUUAUUAAAAGUAAAAAUCAAAGUUUACUUGGUAUCAAGAAAGACGUAGCUUUCACAAAGAUAGAAAACAUAUCAAAUAAUGAUAGCAAAGAUCAAGUAUUUCUUGGCACCAAAAAAGACACAAUUUUUGCAGAGAUUGAAGAUGACAAUGUGGCAACUGACGACAAAUCUCAAACUUCUUUUACAGCAAAAAGUCGAAAAAAUGUGCCAGCUGAAAGAAGUAACAUCAAAGAUAGUAGCUCUAAACUUUCCUUUGAACAGCAGCAGGUAAUCACGGAACAACUCGAGCAAUUCUCAAAUCUGGAUAACGCCGAUGCGCCUUUAUUUAUACCGGAGCAAGAUCUGAUGCAAGUUUCUGUUGUUUCUACGAAAAAUGAAAGCGACGGAACGUCCGCUGUUGGCGAUUCGACCCAAUCAAAUUUGAUAAAUCAAUUAGAGGCGGUGCCUCGAGAGAAAUCGUUGUCGUUGAUCGAUACGGACGAUAACUUUCAACAAAAAAUGAAGAAACCUUCUAACUUUUCUUCGUCAUCCUCUUCGCUGCCUUCCGUUCGUUUUCCUUCACCUGCUCAUUCUCCCAUCGUGUUGUCGCUAUCGAAUGUUGCGAAAAGUUCUCUGUCUUUGGAAGAUGUCAGGUCACAGGUUCAUCAGUAUUGUAGGAAACAACCCAAAUGCCUGUUCAUAGACAUUUCUCGUUCUGCCGAUAAGAAUUGCUCCAAUGACAGUUUGUCGGAGAGCUCGUCGAUGCUUCCCUCAUGUGCAAAAUCACGAUUGGGAGAUAAUAAAUUGAACAUUCUGCGAAUGCGAAUUGCUAAACCUGUCUGUAAUAGCGAAAACAAUUCGAUCGACGCUACGAUUUAUAAAAAGGAAGAGAGUGAAAGAGCCGAUUUUCACGACAAGUCCACUAAGCUGACGCGAAGCUAUGAAAGUAUUUUAAACGACAAAGUUUUAUCUGAUUCUGAUGAUCAAACGCGAUCUUCUGAAAAUCUUUGCGAAAAUCUUGAUUCAUCUUGCAAAUUUUAUAACAGAUUGAUAUCGAGUCCCAAGGGAAGUGUGCGAUGGCAUCGUCAUCGUUCUCUCGAAGAACUGAAAUCGAAAAAAACAUCGAGGAAGCGAGACAAUUCGAUGAAUUUAGUUCAAACUGCUGAAGCUCGAACAAAAUUUGAUAAAUUUUUUGGCGAUAAAUUAGAUUCCGAGGAUGUAGAAAAUGUACGAUGGAAUUGUCACCUAUCGCUCGAAGAAUUGGAAUCAAAAAGAGAAUCACGUGAGCAUAGACAGUCAAAUUUAGGUCAAACUGCCGAAGUACAGAGAUCUGACUGUAUGCUGACAAAAAAUCUUUGCACAAAGUACAUAAGCUAUGAUCGAUUAAAAGACAACAAAUUUGAAUUGUCGCGUGGAAACGAGACAAAAGUGGAACGGAAUUCUCAGAGCGAGUUUAACGUUUCGAGACGGAAGUCCGAUUCGCAGAGGGACGGUUGGCACUUCCAUGAGAUCAGCUCACUAAAAGAUGAUGACCGGUCUGCCUUGCGUCCUCGUCGCAUGAGCGAGCGGGAUUUACCAUCGCGGCUUGGACACGACGCCACUCCUCAGCAAAUUCACAGCAGCAAGUCUGUGCCGGCAUUGCAUAAUAUGGGAACUGAGGUCAAGCAACAGCAUGAGGUAUUCAAUCCCGGAUAUAGCAGAGCUUCUUCCAGUAACAGCGUUACACCACCUGUUCAACCACCUCCUAUGGCGACAAUCACCAGUGGAACUUCUUUGCGUUCCAGGUCGAGCCAUAACUUACACGAUCCCAUGAGAAUCGGUACUUUACCACCUAGUGGCUUGGUUACCAGGCAGCAAUCAUCACCCAAUUUGAAUCCAAACGCGACACACACGAAUGCACCCUCGAAUGCACAGAGCACAGAAGCAGAACGAUUUUACCAAAACCUGAGUAUUUAUCGAAAUCAAGACUCAACGGUAAAGCAACAAAUCAGUCCACAACAGCCAGACGACAGGAACUCUCAGCAUAUUCAAAAGAGUUCCCUGAGGGGUUCGCAGAACUCAUUGAAUCGUCCGUCUAUAGAAAUUGGCGGUCACAUGCGAGACCGUCCGACAUCUGCAUACGUUCCUCAAGGUCAGCAGCAAAGCUAUUCAGCAAUCAAUAAUCAAAUGCAACAACACGGCGGAGGGCCACCACCGCGUUCACAAUCUUCGCGCGACAUUAUUCGGCAAGAAGCAAAGAUGCAGGAAAUGCAGGAAGAGGUUCGCCGACGAGAAUUACGCGCUGGCAUGCCUCUGCUUAAUCAACACAGACCGCCGGCAAUGUACAAUGUCGGCAGUCGAGUGGCGGUUCCUCCUGCUCAACAAGUGCCGAAUACUUUGAACGUACGUACGCCGAGACCACUCGGUUCCACGUCGAGUCUAGGAACUACUUCCAAUUAUGCUGCGAGACAAAAUGCACCUGGUUACAAUUAUCCGGAUGUUCAGUAUAAUGUUCCAUAUAAUAGUACGCAAUACGGUCAGUACGGUCAAUAUAAUCAGUACCCCAAUCGAUAUCCGGCAAUUGGAAAUCAAUACGGCCCAAUGAUGUCCAAGCCGAAGAACGAGGCAAUUGCACGCGGCCACCAGCCGAUACCCAAUGAAAAUCUACUUGGCAGAGACUCGAACAUUCAGGAGACGAAAUCAUACACUGAACAAAACCGACAUUUUAGUAGCUCGCAGAAUAAUCCGCAUUAUCCGAAUGGUAAUCUGGAGCAGCGUGUUGAUCAAUAUGGGAACGAUAACGUCGUCAAUCGUUCGCAAAAUGGGGAGGGUCACUCUAUGACGACAUCAGAAGUGCCGCCUAGACCGGCUCUACCUGAAGACACGUUUAAUGAAAGCCCACCACCACCGCCACCCAGCACUUCGACGCAUCCUUUAUAUAAGCAAUCCGAUACGAGGUAUACCGCAAGUAUGCAGGAUCCACCACGAGGUAGUUAUUACCCUGCGGGAGGAAUCAAUGCCAUGCAACAACCGCGUCAGUAUCAGUAUAGCGCGACGAAUCCUUGGCAACGAGAAGAGAGGGAGAAGGAACAAGCCCGUAGAAGAGAAGCCGCUCGACAAUGGCGAGAUCAGCAGAUCGCCGAACUAAGCGCGUUGACGCAUCGAACUCAGCAGCAGGAGGAGCAGCUGCGAGCUCUCCAACUGGAGAGAGACUUCCAGAAACGCGCAGAAGAGAUUGCCAAUCAAGACGAUGACGAGGAGAGCAACGAUUUAGACAACGAGAGUGUACAGCGCGUUCAGGGCUUGCUGAGGAUGGCGGCCAGCCAGGAUAGAACUGUCCAAGGAACCUUACAGCCACCGAUUUUAUCAAGAACAGUCACAGGCAAUCAAUCUAUAAGAGGUGGUUUACCUGUUCAACCUCUUAGCAGCCAAUCUGUUACCAGCAGCCACGCUCAUAUUCUGUCCAACCAAACGGUGUCUCAGAAUGUCGGAAUGAACAGUCCUAGCCAAGAAAACAGCGGCUUGCAUGUGCAAUCAAAUCAGCAACAGCAACAAACGACUAUAGGUCAGAGUGAAGAGCAUGUAUCGACACCUAAUUAUGGCACAUCUCUUAGCCAUUUCAAUUCCGGUCAGAAGUCAUAUUCUAUGGGUACGCCGCAUUCUGUGGAAGACAGGGAAUUGCAACGAAAAAUGGAUGAGGUGAAGCGGAAACAAGUUGAAUACGAAGAAAACCAAAAGAAGCAGGAGGAACAACAAUUGCAAUCGCAGCAACAAACAUAUCAGCCCAGUCAGCAUCCACGCAGUCAGCUUCACCCCAGCAUGUUGCGCUUGGACAAUUUGAUUAUUAAUGGUUCCAACGUAUCUAUGCCUUCACAAAACAAUGUAAACGAUACUGCACCUCCGCCACCCGAACGAGGCUCCAGUUAUGCCGUUAUGUCUCAGCAAAGUGCUCUUAGAUCAAACGGGUCGACUACAUCCAACCUACCUCCUACUUCUCAACAGUCAGCAUCUAUGAAAAGAGUCUCUUUCCAUGAUUCGAAUGCAAAUAGCGAGUCUAUAUUACGCAAUGUAUCAUCUGGAACAUCAAAUCCGCCAUCAAUCUCAAUGGAUACUAUUAGAGAAGAUCCCAACAUAGACAAAAUUUUAUCAACGACGCGGAAAAUUUAUUAGCCUCUCCUAAGACACCGGAUGGAUCCGGGACUUCAUUUACUGGCGCAACCCCGGGUGUGAUCGGCGCUCAAGAAGUCUAUAAGGACCCGAGGCAAAAGCGACUGGCGGAGAAGCAGAAACAACAGAACUCACAAAUUGGAGCGGUACCA